rnacentral:rRNA from 1 species
AACCAAGAGAGUUAAGUUAUAUUUAUAACGGUAAAAAGACAGUUAAAUAAUCACUAGGGAGUUUAUUUAAUAUCUAUAAAAAGGUAGAAUUUGAAUAUAGGUAUAUAAUUUAAUCAUAACUCAAGCAUUGAAGCUGUGAUAGCCUUGAGGGAAACUGGGAUUAGAUACCCCAUUAUUCUUGGUUGCAAAUGAAAUAAAAUUUACCAGAGUACUAUGAACCAUAAAAGUUUAAAACUCAAAGAGCUUGGCGGUGUUUUAGACCUUUCAGGGGAACCUGUCUCAUAAUCGACAAUCCACGAUAUACCUAACCUCUUUUUGCUCUCAGUUUGUAUACCGUCGUCGUCAGGUAACUUUUAAAAAUUCAGAAGUUAGCAGUAAAAAUUACGUAAAUUUAAACGUCAGAUCAAGGUGCAGCUUAUAAUUAGGUGAAGAUGGGUUACAAUUAUUAAGUUAUAAUCACGAAACAGUUAUUUGGAUAAAUCAUUGUGAAGGAGGACUUGAAAGUAAAUUGAAUUAUAUAAAUAUUUUGAAUAAGGCUCUGAAACGU